UCUUUUCUGAAGCAUAAAGAAGCAUAGUUAGAAAUUAAGACAAGAAAUGAUGAAACAUAAUGGAUUUUAGGCUAUACAUGAAUAAUGUCCACAAUCAAAACUUGUUGACGGUAGGAUGUUAGUAGGUUGGUGUUGGAGCGUCAGUAGUAAGUUGAUAGUAAGAUAUUAAUAGUAAUUUUUAGCUAGUUUUCUCUUCAGUAUGAUAUAUAGUAGGUGGAUGGUAGGGUGUCAGUAGGUUGAUGUUAAGUUGUCAGAGGGUUUGUGCACGUGGUAGACUGUGUCCGUAGGCUGAUAUAACAUUACAUAAAUAUUAUAAUAUUAAUUAGUACUAACCAAUUAUCUUGACUCCUUCUUCUCUCUGUGCUUCUGAUUCUGCCAGCCUCAUGCUUUUUAUGAGCUUUUCCAUUCGUUCUCUUUCCAUCCUCUUGUACUCAGCCAAAGCAUUGGUACUUUCAUCAGAAAGCUCAAAUUUAUCUGCAGCACUUUUGCAGGCCUCUUCAUACAUUGCUAAGGCUUUCUGCAGCAUCUCUCGGGCAGCUUUGAGUGAUGUAGAGUUCUCGUUCGCAUACUUGAUGGCACCACAUAAAAGGUCUACAUACAAAAUUAAUUAUGAGUAAAUCAAAAUCAAGUCUAAAUAUAUAAAGAUAUAUUAAAAUUUUUCUCCAUCUUUAAAAUCAAGAAUUAAAUUAAUUCUAACCUCUAACUUCAAUACCAACAGGAUGGAGGGCUUCAAAUCCUGGAUUCUGGAUGAUUUCACUCAGUGUGGCAAUUGAUUCUUGAAUUUUUUCAUCUGUUUUGAAAUGAAAAUGAAAUAAAAGCAAAUAAAAAAACAACAA